rnacentral:rRNA from 1 species
UCGUAUUCGCCACACCUCUUUCGGAGAAGGUAUCGAAUGCGCCAAUCCCUCUUCGUAAAAAUAGUACAAGCUUGCGAGGCCAAUUCUCGGUUUUUUACCCAAAGGAGAAACGCUGCGGGCUUGAUGGGUUUUAGCGCAUAUAAAAAAAUCUCGGCAGCUAUGCGGGUGAUUGCAUAUGGCAUUUCGGCUGACAAUUGA